GGCCCAUCCCAAAGUCCAACUACGAGCUUUUUAACUGCAACAACUUAAAUAUACGCUGUUGGAGCUGGAAUUACCGCGUCUGCUGGCACCAGACUUGCCUUCCAAUGGAUCCUCGUUAAGAGAUUUAGAUUGUACUCAUUCCAAUUACCAGACUCAUAAAUCCCGGUAUUGUUAUUUAUUGUCACUACCUCCCCAUGUCAGGAUUGGGUAAUUUGCGGGCCUGCUGCUUCCUUGGAUGUGGUAGUCGUUUAUCAGGCUCCAUCUCCGGAAUGGAACCCUAAUUCUUCGUCACCUGUCACCACCAUGGUAAGUGUUACGACCCCAAAUAUUGACAUGACGGAUGUCAGGCAGAAUUCAUGUUGAGGGCUUGUGUAUUGCCCCUUGUCAUGGAUUCGUUGAAGCGUUGACAAUGUACAAGGCUGGUUGUGUGUCUAAGUUGGUGAUGGGCUUAGGCAAGGCAGCUAGACAAGGUAGCUGGAGUGUUGGAAAGGCGGCCUUGGUUAGUGGGCAUCGACAAUGGCAAAUGGAAGCAUGGCACUUGACAAUGGCAUGCGCAGAUCUGUGGGACGACUUAAUUUUUAGAAAGGCGUGGCUAUGAAAUUGAGGGCGAGGCAAGGUCCAAGGCAAAGCCGGGCAAAGGUAUGCGCGAAUCAGUGGGACGACUUGAUUCAUAGCAGGGCGUGGCUAUGAAAUUAAGGGCGAGGCAAUGUCCAAGUCAAAGCGAGGCAAAGGAAUGCGCGGAUUGGUGGGACGGCUUAAUUCAUAGCAGGGCGUGGCUAUGGAAUUAAGGGCGAGGCAAGGUCCAAGGCAAAGCUGGGCUAGAGACAAGGAAAAUGUGGGCAAGGCUAGAGGCCAUCGUGCAUGGAAUGUGAUGGAGAGGUGGGAAGGACAUGUGCUGGAAGUUGAAGACAUGAUCUAAGAACAUGGGUGGUUGGCUACAAAGUGGAAGACAUAGUAGCAACUGUCUUGAACCACCUAAGGCAUGUGCAUGGCACAUGGUAGAAACUGCUCCUUUGUAACUGCCUUUGGCAGCUCCUUUAUAUAGAUUGCAUCUCCGUCUGUGGAGAAGGCAAGUAGCAUUACAUAUGUGAGCCAAGUCUAAAAAGUGCGUCCUUUAUAUAUUAUGCGAGAAUUAAUAAAGGUUGUGUUUUACCCGUAAAUUCUGUGUGUGUUCUUAGUUUGGCUAAAGUCCGAAAAUCCUAAGUCAGGCUGUGUGUGUGUGUGUGCGAAAAGUGAAGGCUGAAGUGGCUGUGAGCUGCUGCCGUGCAGUGUCUAUUUUUGGGAAAAGUUGAACCUGUAACAAUUGGUAUCAGAGCUUUUUGGUUGUAACUCUUGAUCAUGGCGGGUGGGUCUACUUCAGACUUACGUGAUAGAGUGCAAUGGUUGGAGGUGCUAAUUGACGUGACCGAUGAUCCUUUUGGAUAUGGAAGAUCUUAUUACAGAGAUUUACCGUCUAAAGGAUGGGGCAGAUCAGUUUUGCGAUGGGAUCCAACAAAGUUGUGAAUCAACGGAUGGCGUAGUUGAAGACCUGAAGAAGGAGGUCGACAACUUGAAGGCCGAAAUCAAUGUUCUUCGACGGGCGUUGGCUGAUCCAAGCCAAGGCAAUGAAGAACGCUCGAAGGUAAAGAUUCCUGAUCCUAAGGCGUUUGGUGGAACGCGUAGUGGUCACUGUUCUUCGACGGGCGUUGGCUGCUUCAAGCCAAGGCAAUGAAGAACGCUUGAAGGUGAAGAUUUCAGAUCCAAAGGCGUUUGAUGGAACGCGUAGUGCAAAAGAAUUGGAGAAUUUUCCGUGGGACAUGGAACAAUAUCUUGUUGCUGCCAAAGUUCCAAAUGCAGAGAAGGUCACAAUUACAAGCAUGUACCUAACGGGAGAUGCAAAAUUGUGGUAGAGAACUCGUAUGGUGGACGAUGAAAGUGCUGGCAGACCGAAAAUUGAUACAUGGGAGAAGCUCAGAAAAGAAAUGAAGGACCAAUUCUUGCCUAGCAAUGAUUCUUGGCUUGAUAGUGACCAUUUGAAAUGCUUGCGACAAACGGGAUCUAUUCGGGAUUAUAUUAAGGAAUUCUUUUCCUUAAUGUUGGAUGUUCAAAACAUGUCGGAGGACGACAAAUUGCAUGACUUUAUUUCUUGAAUGCAAGCAUGGGCGCAGAAUGAACUUCGGAGACAGACUGUGAAGGAUCUCCCAAGUGCCAUGGCUGCAGCGGAUUCUUUGGUGGACUAUCGUAGCACCCGUACUCUUUCGGAUAUUCCUCCCGCUUCAAAACCUAACAAACGGGUGGAGAAGAAAGGGGAAUGGAGGAAGGAAGUUCGAGAGGAAGUCGUUGAGAAGGGUAAGGUUGUCGAUGGGGCUGUUCAAAACAAAGGCAUCGCAAACAGGAAAACUGAUGGUUGCUGGACGUGCGGAGGACCUCAUCUUGCCAAAGACUGUCCAAAUCGUGAGCGGGUAAAUGCUUUUCUUGCUACAGAAAAUAAUCGGGAUGGAGAAGGUGAAGAAAUUGUUGCUGCCGUCAAAAACAGGUAAACUGAUGGUUGUUGGACAUGCGGAGGACCUCAUCUUGCCAGAGAUUGUCCAAAUCGUGAGCGGGUAAAUGCUUUGCUUGCUACAGAAAAUAAUCGGGAUGGAGAAGGUGAAGAAAUUGUUGCUGCCUUGGUAAAUCCUUUGCAAUUGUUGAAUGUUAUCUCGUUGAUAAAUACCACAAGUAACGAGAAGAACCCUUAUUCUUUACUGAUGCAUAUCGAGAUGAGAAUUUGGGACAGAAGUGUGAUAGCUAUGGUAGAUACUGGCGCUACUCACACCCUUAUUUCUGCCAAUUUGGUGCAUAAGUAUCGAUUGAGAGUGUCGAAAUGUCCCUAUUACAUAAAGACUGUGAACACCAAAGCACAAGCCCUUGUGGGUAUGGCUUAUGAUGUUCCUAUGUCUUUUGGAACUGGAAAGGGAAGGUCAAUUUGAUGGUCAUUACAAUGGAAGAGUUUGAGGUGAUCCUCGGAGUUGACUUCAUGCGGAAACAUCACUUUGUUCGAAUGCCUCACUUGAACAGAGUGAUGAUCAUGAAUGAUAUGGCUCCUGGUUUUGUGAAAGUUGUUUAUCCUUAUGGAGGGUGCCUUACUUGAACAGAGUGAUGAUCAUGAAUGAUAUGGUUCCUGGUUUCGUGAAAGUUGUUUAUCCUUAUGGAGGAGAAGAAAUUCAAAGUAACGCUUCGUUAAAUUCUGCCAUGAUGGUUGGAAAUGGUUUGAGGAAGGGAGGUGAGACUUUCCUUGCUGCCGGGGUUGAAGUGAACCUGAUCUUAAGGUUGAAGUGCCAGAUUGCGAUGCUCAAAGUUUGAGUGACUUUGCUGAUGUGAUGCCACCAGAGUUGCCUAAAAAUCUACCACCACGGAGGACUAUUGAUCACAAGAGAGAGUUGAUGCCGGGUUUGAUGCUUCCCAAGGUUGAAGUGCCGGAUUGCGAUGCUCAAAGUUUGAGUGACUUUGCUGAUGUGAUUCCACCAGAUUUGCCUAAAAAUCUGCCACCACAGAGGACUAUUGAUCAGAAGAUAGAGUUGAUGCCGGGUUCGAUGAUUCUACUCAACCUCAUAGGGGGUUGAACAAGGUGAAGGUGGAAAACAACUAUCCUGUUCCGUUGGUGCAAGAGUUGAUGGACAGAUUGAGCAAGGCAUGCUGGUUCAUGAAACUUGAUAUACGGUCGGGUUAUUGGCAGGUAAGAUAGCUGAAGGGGAUGAGUCUAAAACUACUUGUGUUACGAGGUAUGGCUCAUAUGAAUUCCUUGAUAUGCUGAUUGAGCAAGACAUGCAGGUUCAUGAAGCUUGACAUACGGUCGGGUUAUUUGCAGGUACGGAUAGCUGAAGGUGAGGAGUCUAAAACUACUUCUGCUACGAGGUAUGGCUCAUAUGAAUUCCUUGUUAUGCCGUUCGGAUGGAUAGAUGCCCCUGCUACAUUUUGCAACCACAUGAAUGACGGCCUGUAUGAGUACAUAGAUGACUUUGUCGUUGUCUAAUUAGACGACAUUGUUGUCUAUAGUCAAAAUUUGGAUGAACAUAUGUCACACUUGAUAAAAGUGCUGUCUCGGUUGAGGGAGUACAAGCUGUAUGAGAAGUGUGAAUUUUCUAGACAGGAGAUCAAAUUUCAUGGGCACUUGGUGAGCCAGAAUCAGGUGCGUAUGGACCCGAAGAAGGUGCAGGUCAUUGCGGAAUGGAAAGUGCCGAAAGUUGUGAAAGAAUUGAGAUCUUUCCUUGGGUUGGCUAAUUAUUAUCAGAAAUUCAUUGCUGGUUACUCAAAUAAAGUUGUUCCUUUGACGGAUGUGUUGAAGAACGUUAAAGGGAAUUGGUCGGGAAAAUGCUGUUACUCAAAGAAAGUUGUUCCUUUGAUGGAUGUGUUGAAGAAGAACGUUAAAGGGAAUUGAUCGGAAAAAUUCUGGGUUGCAUGUGGUGAGUUGAAUGAAUCCAUUGCCUCAGAACCAAUCGUGCGGCUUGCUGAGUUUGAGUUACUAUUUGAAGUGCAUACAGAUACAUCUGACAUGGCUGUUGGAGGCGUGCUGGUUCAAGAAGGUCAUCCUGUGGCCUUUGAAAUAAGAAAGUUGAAAGUGCAUAUAGAUACGUCUGACAAGGCUGUUGGAGGCGUGCUGGUUCAAGAAGGUCAUCUUGUGGGCUUUGAAAUAAGAAACUUGAAUGAAGCAAAACAAAGGUAUUCGUCUCAUGAGGAGGAAGUCAUUGUUGCUGGUUAUUCCUUUAUGGGACUUGAGUUAGAUUUUGUUGAUAAAUUCAAGUCAGAUGCUAUGAAUGAUCCAUUGUACAUGAACACAAUGAAUCACACGAAGGAAGGUACUGUGCGAUGGUACUGGAUCAAGGGCAACGAGGUAUUAACGGAUAGAACCUUGGUUGCGAGAUAUGGUGGUCCGUUCGAAGAGCAAAUCAAGGGCUACUUGAGAUUAACCUCGAUGAGGGCGUCGAGUUCAAUUGGUGGGGGUGGUUUUUUACGACCCCAAAUAUUGACAUGAUGGAUGUAGG
rnacentral:lncRNA from 1 species